ensembl:lncRNA
AUGAGGGUGCACGGGCACCCAGCCACGCCAGAAAUGCAAUGCAAAAGGGGAGAAAGUUUCAAAACACACCAGUUACUGAGUUUUCGGAAAUCACCUUCACCCAGCCCUGGGAGAGGGGGUUGGGGGGGGGGGGAGGGGAGGGACGGCCAAGGAUGGAAGGUGGCUCCAGCCGUGUCUCCAGGGUCACCCGGGCGCCCACCUCCUGUCCGCGUGGAAAUCCACUCGCGGGUGCCGGGAGAGCCCAGGCUCAUGCCUGCUAGCUGCUCCUCGGGGCUCCUCCUCGUCCCGGCCGCCCCGAACCUGCCCGACCCGCGGGCCCAUGUGCUCAGCGGCCGCACGCGCUCUGCCCGGCGAGCGCGGGGCUGGCGGGUGGCCCGUGACGUCACGGCGGCUCGCGCUCCGGGCCGCGGGGGAGGGAGAGCGCGCGCCGCCCGGCCGGCCGCGUGCGUCCUCGGUCCCCGCGCGCCGGCUCCGCUGCGGCCGCCGCGCACGCAUCUCUACCCGCUGUCCCCGCAACGCAGGGGCACCACGCCGGGCAGGGCUGCUAUGGGAGGCGGGCGGGCCUGUGCCAGGACGCCGAGGACCCAGAUGGUGCGGGGGAGGGCACACUGCGCGGGGCUGGGGCUGGGGCUGGGGGGUUGGGGUCCUCGCUGCGCUCACACUCGGGCCCUGCCAAGCCCUCGGGAACCCUGCGGUGAUGCCCGCUCGCACUUGCCCUGCGCUUUCCGCAGCCCUUCCCAGAGUCCUGGAGCCAAGGAUUUCUUGCCAGUUUCCAGAUAGGGAUGGCGAGUUUAGUGAAUCGAAGCACCAGGGCUCUGAAGUGGGUUUAGUUUCCGCAGAAGACGGCUGGCUGAGCUCCGUCGCCGGUGAUCUGAGCGCCUCUGGGUACCAUUCAGCAUCCGCGAGUCUGGGGAGGGGCGCGCGCACCUUCGCUCUUGCCUGGCCCUCUCCCGCUGUCCCCAGGCGCUGAGCUGCAAAGGCGCGCAGACGACCACCUGUCUGCGCAGCUCCCCCAACCCGGGGCUAGAGCUGAGCCACACAUUAUUAAACUAGCCCCCUGGAAGGCCCAGCAGGCCCUCCAAGGUGGUGGGGGGAGGGGGCAGGAGGACGCGGACUUCCCGCGUGGGGUGUGCUCAUCUUGCGUUCGGGACACAAGCUCCGUCUGCAAGACGCUGCCUCCUCCGAGCUCUGCAUUUAUUGACCACGACUGGGAGCCGGGUACCUUGCUAGGCCGUGGGUAAGGGGCGUGAAAGACGAACCCCACGCAGACACUGGAAGGAAGUCGGACACACAAAUGAGUGAUUUCAGGAUCCCGGAAGCGAAGGCAGCAUCUUCUCUCUGCCCAGUACUGCUGCAUCCUUUAUCAUUUCUGCCCCUAGGAGGGCUUUUGUCUCCUCCCGCUGUGGCCGGUUCAGUUUCUCCUUCUCCCAUGCGAAUAAUUCUCCUCUCUUGAAAAAUAGCGAUCUUCAGCAAAUGCUCUUCUACCACCUGUUACCACACUCAUUUGUGGUCCCGGCGCUGUGGGAGACUAGACAGGCCCCUGGGCUACAAUUGUCAUGUACAUUUUGAGAGGGGGAGUGAGGAAGACUACGAAUCUCAGAGUCGGUGCAGGGGGUUCUAGAAGCUGCGAGAAUCUGCUUUGGAUAUGUUUAAAUGGUUUCUCAGGUGCGGUGGAGAAUUUUAAAAUAUGAUUUGAAAGUUUCUUUAUUUUAUUUGAAAAGCAGAGACAUGAGGUGGGGUGGAGAGAGAGAGAGAAUCGAUCUCCUAUCUGCUUGUUCAC